GAUUAAGAUUUUGCCACCCUGAAUAUGCCCAAUCUCAUCUGAUUUCAGAAGCUAAGCAGGGUCUGGCCUGGUUAGUACUUGGAUAGGAGACCACCUAGGAAUACCAGGUGUUGUAGGCA
rnacentral:rRNA from 1 species